CAUAAUUUGGUUGCAACAUAAUCAGCAGAUAUGAAACUCGGGACGGUCUUAAUUCUAUUGGCUGUGUGCGUCGCAACAGUGUAUUGCUGUUCCACCGACGCAGAUUGCGCAGGUACCUUGACCUGUAGCACCGGUGAAGAAGAAUAUUGUCAUGGCAACCACUGUCACUGCGCUGAGUUCAAGACUUGUGCAGACGACAGCGACUGUCACGGUCAUUGUAACGCCGGCGGAUCACCAACGUGCGACGCAAACAACCAUUGUCAUUGUAACUAACGAACGGUUUUUGACACUGUAAUGUAAAGGAAACACUGUGGAUAUAGUCAGAGAAUUAAAUAUUAUUUGUUUUGUGUUUUUUUCUGAAAAUGAAUGCCGAAAACUUUUAA